GGUGGGUUAGCUCAGUGGUUAGAGCUUAGGAUCUUGUGACUGAAAGGUCCCGGGAUCGAAUCCCACGAGAGACAG
rnacentral:tRNA from 1 species